UCUAGGGAGACAUACACGAAAGCAAGACUUUCGAUGUCACUUAGGUCGACACUUUGGCGCUUAAACUAAGGGUUAAGAAACUUUACAUUGGUUGGUUUUGAAAA
rnacentral:misc_RNA from 1 species